rnacentral:rRNA from 1 species
AUUGAACGCUGGCGGCAUGCUUUACACAUGCAAGUCGAACGGUAACAGGCCUUCGGGUGCUGACGAGUGGCGAACGGGUGAGUAAUGCAUCGGAACGUACCCAGAGGUGGGGGAUAACGCAGCGAAAGCUGUGCUAAUACCGCAUGUGAUCUGAGGAUGAAAGCGGGGGACCGAGCAGCAAUGUUUGGCCUCGCGCCUUUGGAGCGGCCGAUGUCGGAUUGGCCAGUUGGUGGGGUAAAGGCCUACCAAGGCGACGAUCCGUAGCUGGUCUGAGAGGACGACCGGCCACACUGGGACUGGGACACGGCCCAGACGCCUACGGGAGGCAGCAGUGGGGAAUUUUAGACAAUGGGCGCAAGCCUGAUCCAGCAAUGCCGCGUGCGAGAAGAAGGCCUUCGGGUUGUAAACCGCUUUUGGCAGGAACGAAACGGUGUCCGCUAAUACCGGGCGCUAAUGACGGUACCUGCAGAAUAAGCACCGGCUAACUACGUG